GAUGAACGCUGGCGGCGUGCCUAAUACAUGCAAGUCGAGCGAACAGACGAGGAGCUUGCUCCUCUGACGUUAGCGGCGGACGGGUGAGUAACACGUGGAUAACCUACCUAUAAGACUGGGAUAACUUCGGGAAACCGGAGCUAAUACCGGAUAAUAUAUUGAACCGCAUGGUUCAAUAGUGAAAGACGGUUUUGCUGUCACUUAUAGAUGGAUCCGCGCCGCAUUAGCUAGUUGGUAGGGUAACGGCUUACCAAGGCGACGAUGCGUAGCCGACCUGAGAGGGUGAUCGGCCACACUGGAACUGAGACACGGUCCAGACUCCUACGGGAGGCAGCAGUAGGGAAUCUUCCGCAAUGGGCGAAAGCCUGACGGAGCAACGCCGCGUGAGUGAUGAAGGUCUUCGAAUCGUAAAACUCUGUUAUUAGGGAAGAACAAAUGUGUAAGUAACUAUGCACGUCUUGACGGUACCUAAUCAGAAAGCCACGGCUAACUACGUG
rnacentral:rRNA from 1 species